rnacentral:rRNA from 1 species
AUGACAUGCAAUACGACUUGGAAAACAGAGGAGGACAAACUAGAUCGAUCUAUGGAUCCGCAGGGGUGCGCCCCAAUGCGCAAUGACGGCCACCUAGCCGGCUAUGACAAAUACAAAGCUGUCCGAGCCGAAUACCACAGACUAGCUUCAUUCGAGCUGCAUCGCGACGUAGCCCGACAUAGAGGCGCCGCACACACCCUAUGCUUCACCGAUGAAGUAAUGGAACAUGAAUUCCUAGAAGGGUUCAAACCCGUAAACAUUGAAUCAUAUGAUGGGACAACAGACCCCGCAGUAUGGAUCGAGGACUUCCUUCUCCAUAUUCAUAUGGCCUGCGGCGAUGAUCUCCACACCAUCAAGUAUCUCCCGCUAAAACUCAAAGGACCAGUUCGGCAUUGGUUGAACAGUCUGCCCAAAAACUCUAUCGGUAGUUGGGAGAACCUGGAAGACGCAUUCCUUGACAACUUCCAAGGUACUUAUGUACGACCUCCAGAUGCCGAUGACUUAAGUCAUAUAAUCCAACAACCCGGAGAGUCAGCCAGGAAAUUCUGGACUCGGUUCUUAACUAAAAAGAACCAGAUCGUCGUUUGUCCGGAUGUCGAAGCCCUAGCGGCCUUCAAGCAUAACAUCUGUGACGAGUGGCUGGCCUGA